rnacentral:lncRNA from 1 species
AUGGUGGUCCGGCGAGAGCUUACACUGGAUGGUGGUCCGGCGACGGCACAACGUGGGACGUGGAUGAUCUUUCUAGAUCCAAGCUUACACUGAAAUGUGUUUUACUGUUUGGGAAUCUGGGAUGACUGCAUUUUAUGUCAGAUUAGUCUCUUGAUUGAAGAAAGAUUUUUUUUUAAUCAAAUCGUGCCUGUUUUAGCCGCCACACCAAAUCGUCUGCAACAAAAAGUCAUACUCGUUCCUCUUGACCAAAAGCUUGACAUGCUAUGGAGUUUCAUUAAAGCGCAUUUGAAUUCAAUAAUUCUUGUUUUUCUUUCUGCCUGCAAGCAGGUGAGGUUUGUACACGAAGCGUUCAAGA